GAUAGUCAAUGUGUGGGUCAAAUUAAUUUUAUUUUUGUUCCCGUUCUCUUCCCACUAUCCUCAUUCUUUCCAUUUUUUUUGUUUUCUCUGACGUUUUCUUUCCUUUUCCUUUCAUUUGUUGCCAUCUUCUUUUGUUGUCGUCCCUUGCUGAUGUUUCUUCAUUGCCACCUUAUCUUCUAUCGUGUCGCCGUCUAGAUUGCAUUUUCCCCAUUAAAGUUUGUCGAUUUAAUUAUGGUUGCGAUUCUGCUAGGGGUGGAUCGUAAGGCUAUACACUUCCGGCGAGUUGAGGAUUUUGGAAAUUUCUUUUCUCUUCAAGGGUAAGUUUUCAAAACAUCAAUUUAGGAGCUGGUUUGCAAUGAUUUAGCUUACGAAGGUCGAAUGCCUUCUAUUAAUAGGUUAGGGCGUAUAGGCCCACCUCAGGCAGACUUGUUCGAAUGUAGGUUUUGGAAUAACAAUCUUUUUGUAUCUGAAAAAUGGUUAUGAAGUAAUCGUCUGGUAUGUUAGUGUUGUAAGUAUAAUUUAUGAAAAUAUGCUAAGUUUUGUAAAAUGACAUAUCUGAUCUAUAAAUCCAUACUCAUCGUUGGCAUCUUUUUGUUCUACUAUGUUCAUAUAUGAGCACGAGAAAUCUGAGUAUGUUAUUCUAACUAUAUAUGAACCUGUUAUAUGAUCAUGCAUGUGACAUUAUGGCGAAAUUGUUUUGGUAUGGUUAAUAUUUGACGCAUAUAUGUUCUAUAAAGCAUGGAAUCCCAUGCCUACUGAUUCUUUUUUUUUGUAUAAGACUGCAUAUUCUACAUUCUUUUGUUCUGAUUUCGUAUUUACAUGUCAUGUCACAUUACAUGGGGUUGGGAUGAUAUGGUAAGGAGGAAGUUCUGACAGUUUAAUUAUCUACAUUAUCUGGUGGUUUAACCACAUACCUGUUCUAGCAUAUGAAAUAUAGUGGCAUGACCACAUAUUUUGACAAUUUAUCUGCAUUAUUCCUGGUGGCUUUGUUAACAAUU
rnacentral:lncRNA from 1 species